rnacentral:rRNA from 1 species
UACGUAGGGGGCUAGCGUUGUCCGGAAUCAUUGGGCGUAAAGCGCGUGUAGGCGGUCCGGUAAGUCCGCUGUGAAAGUCGGGGGCUCAACCUCGAAUGCCGGUGGAUACUGUCGGGCUAGAGUGCGGAAGAGGCGAGUGGAAUUCCUGGUGUAGCGGUGAAAUGCGCAGAUAUCAGGAGGAACACCUAUUGCGAAGGCAGCUCGCUGGGACGUAACUGACGCUGAGACGCGAAAGCGUGGGGAGCAAACAGG